UCGCGAAUGGCUCAUUACAACAGCUAUAAUUUACUUGAUCUUGACACAAUCCUACUUGGAUAACUGUGGUAAUUCUAGAGCUAAUACAUGCAUUAAAGCUCUGACCUCACGGGAAGAGUGCAUUUAUUAGAACAAAACCAAGCGGCUUCGGCUGUUUCUGGUUGACUCAUAGUAACUGAGCUGAUCGCAUGGUCUUGCACCGGCGACGUGUCUUUCAAGUAUCUGCCGUAUCAACUUUCGAUGGUAGUGUAUCUGACUACCAUGGUGAUCACGCGUAACGGAGAAUAAGGGUUCGGCUCCGGAGAGUUCGCCUGAGAAAUCGCGAACACAUCUAAGGAAGGCAGCAGGCGCGAAAAUUACCCACUCUCAGCACGAGGAGGUAGUGACGAAAAAUAACGAGACCGUUCUCUUAUGAGGCCGGUCAUCGGAAUGGGUACAAUUUAAACCCUUUAACGAGUAUCUAUGAGAGGGCAAGUCUGGUGCCAGCAGCCGCGGUAAUUCCAGCU
rnacentral:rRNA from 1 species